rnacentral:rRNA from 1 species
UAUACAUGCAGUCGAGCGAACUGAUUAGAAGCUUGCUUCUAUGACGUUAGCGGCGGACGGGUGAGUAACACGUGGGCAACCUGCCUGUAAGACUGGGAUAACUUCGGGAAACCGAAGCUAAUACCGGAUAACAUCAUUCCUUGCAUAAGGAAUGAUUGAAAGAUGGUUUCGGCUAUCACUUACAGAUGGGCCCGCGGUGCAUUAGCUAGUUGGUGAGGUAACGGCUCACCAAGGCAACGAUGCAUAGCCGACCUGAGAGGGUGAUCGGCCACACUGGGACUGAGACACGGCCCAGACUCCUACGGGAGGCAGCAGUAGGGAAUCUUCCGCAAUGGACGAAAGUCUGACGGAGCAACGCCGCGUGAGUGAUGAAGGCUUUCGGGUCGUAAAACUCUGUUGUUAGGGAAGAACAAGUAUGAGAGUAACUGCUCGUACCUUGACGGUACCUAACCAGAAAGCCACGGCUAACUACGUGCCAGCAGCCGCGGUAAUAC